AUCUAAGGCCACACCAACUCAAAUGAGCUCUAUCUCCUCUGAUCUAGGAAGCUAAACAGGGUCAGGCCCGGUUAAUAGUUGGAAGGGAGACCUUCUGGGAAUACUCAGCGUUAGAGGUU
rnacentral:rRNA from 1 species